rnacentral:piRNA from 1 species
AGUGUUUCCUACUUUAUGGA